rnacentral:rRNA from 1 species
AGAGUUUGAUCAUGGCUCAGAACGAACGCUGGCGGCGUGCCUAACACAUGCAAGUCGAACGUGAUUAGAGAGCUUGCUCUCUAUGAAAGUGGCGCACGGGUGAGUAACGCGUAGAUAAUCUACCUGGUGAUCCGGGAUAACACUUCGAAAGGGGUGCUAAUACCGGAUAAGCUCACGGAGUCUUCGGAUUCUGCGGGAAAAGGGGGGGACCUUUUAGGCCUUCCGUCAUCAGAUGAGUCUGCGUACCAUUAGCUAGUUGGUAGGGUAAAGGCCUACCAAGGCGACGAUGGUUAGCUGGUCUGAGAGGAUGAUCAGCCACACUGGAACUGAGACACGGUCCAGACUCCUACGGGAGGCAGCAGUGGGGAAUUUUGCGCAAUGGGGGAAACCCUGACGCAGCAACGCCGCGUGAGUGAUGAAGGCCCUUGGGUCGUAAAGCUCUGACAGAGGGAAAGAAGUGUAGAGUGGCUAAUAUCCACAUUACUUGACGGUACCCUCAAAGGAAGCACCGGCUAACUCCGUGCCAGCAGCCGCGGUAAUACGGGGGGUGCAAGCGUUGUUCGGAUUUAUUGGGCGUAAAGCGCGUGUAGGCGGUUUUUUAAGUCUGAUGUGAAAGCCCCGGGCUCAACCCGGGAAGUGCAUUGGAUACUGGAAGACUUGAAUACGGGAGAGGGCAGUGGAAUUCCUAGUGUAGGAGUGAAAUCCGUAGAUAUUAGGAGGAACACCGGUGGCGAAGGC